CAGUAGCCGCGGGAAUACGUAGGGUCCGAGCGUUGUCCGGAAUUAUUGGGCGUAAAGGGCUCGUAGGCGGUUUGUUGCGUCGGGAGUGAAAACCCAGGGCUUAACUUUGGGCUUGCUUUCGAUACGGGCAGACUUGAGGCAUUGAGGGGAGAACGGAAUUCCUGGUGUAGCGGUGAAAUGCGCAGAUAUCAGGAGGAACACCGGUGGCGAAGGCGGUUCUCUGGCAAUGUUCUGACGCUGAGGAGCGAAAGUGUGGGGAGCGAACAGGAUUAGAUACCCCCGUAGUCCCUGUCUCUUAUAC
rnacentral:rRNA from 1 species